rnacentral:misc_RNA from 1 species
UACGUAGGUGGCAAGCGUUGUCCGGAUUUACUGGGCGUAAAGCGCGCGUAGGCGGCUGAUUAAGUCCGAUGUGAAAUCUCCCGGCUCAACCGGGAGCGGUCAUUGGAUACUGGUCGGCUCGAGGGAGGCAGAGGAGAGUGGAAUUCCCGGUGUAGUGGUGGAAUGCGUAGAUAUCGGGAGGAACACCAGCGGCGAAGGCGGCUCUCUGGGCCUUUCCUGACGCUGAAGUGCGAAAGCGUGGGGAGCAAACCGG